rnacentral:rRNA from 1 species
AGAGUUUGAUCAUGGCUCAGAACGAACGCUGGCGGCAGGCCUAACACAUGCAAGUCGAGCGCCCGCAAGGGAGCGGCAGACGGGUGAGUAACGCGUGGGAACGUGCCCUUUGGUUCGGAAUAUUCCCGGGAAACUGGGAGCAAAACCGGAUAAGCCCUUCGGGGGAAAGUUUACGCCAAAGGAUCGGCCCGCGUUAGAUUAGGUAGUUGGUGGGGUAACGGCCUACCAAGCCUACGAUCUAUAGCUGAUCUGAGAGGAUGAUCAGCCACACUGGGACUGAGACACGGCCCAGACCCCUACGGGAGGCAGCAGUGGGGAAUCUUGGACAAUGGGCGCAAGCCUGAUCCAGCCAUGCCGCGUGGAUGACUGAAGGCCCUAGGGUUGUAAAGUCCUUUCGACGGGGACGAUAAUGACGGUACCCGUAGAAGAAGCCCCGGCUAACUUCGUGCCAGCAGCCGCGGUAAUACGAAGGGGGCUAGCGUUGUUCGGAUUUACUGGGCGUAAAGGGCGCGUAGGCGGAUUUUUAAGUCAGAGGUGAAAUCCCGGAGCUCAACUCCGGAACUGCCUUUGAAACUGGAAAGCUAGAAUCAUGGAGAGGUUAGUGGAAUUCCGAGUGUAGAGGUGAAAUUCGUAGAUAUUCGGAAGAACACCAGUGGCGAAGGCGACUGACUGGACAUGUAUUGACGCUGAGGUACGAAAGCGUGGGGAGCAAACAGGAUUAGAUACCCCGGUAGU